rnacentral:rRNA from 1 species
GAUGAACGCUGGCGGCGUGCUUAACACAUGCAAGUCGAACGGAAAGGCCCCUGCUUGCAGGGGUACUCGAGUGGCGAACGGGUGAGUAACACGUGGGUGAUCUGCCCUGCACUUCGGGAUAAGCCUGGGAAACUGGGUCUAAUACCGGAUAGGACGAUGGUUUGGAUGCCAUUGUGGAAAGUUUUUCGGUGUGGGAUGAGCUCGCGGCCUAUCAGCUUGUUGGUGGGGUAAUGGCCUACCAAGGCGUCGACGGGUAGCCGGCCUGAGAGGGUGUACGGCCACAUUGGGACUGAGAUACGGCCCAGACUCCUACGGGAGGCAGCAGUGGGGAAUAUUGCACAAUGGGCGCAAGCCUGAUGCAGCGACGCCGCGUGGGGGAUGACGGCCUUCGGGUUGUAAACUCCUUUCGCUAGGGACGAAGCGCAAGUGACGGUACCUGGAGAAGAAGCACCGGCUAACUACGUG